rnacentral:rRNA from 1 species
UAGGGAAUCUUCCGCAAUGGGCGCAAGCCUGACGGAGCGACGCCGCGUGAGUGAUGAAGGCCUUCGGGUCGUAAAGCUCUGUUCUUGAGGACGAAUAAGCCAGGGAGUGNAAAGCCCUGGUGAUGACUGUACUCAAGGAGAAAGCUCCGGCUAACUACGUG